AUUUUAGCCGUUAAUAAUAUAUCCAGGCCAAUUUCACCAUCUUGGCAUAUUCCACUCCCUUUCUUAUUAGUCCAAUUCCUCAACUCUCUAAUCCCCAAAACUACAACCCUAACUCUCUCACACUGCCCCAUUCUCAUAUUCGAUUGCAUAAUCUCUUGAGAAUGUGCUGAUUGUGGGGUGAGAAGGUUUCAUGCUAAUGGCAGAAUGUGUGGUAUCACCACUAUGUAUGAAGCUGCAAAUGCAGAGGAGUUUUGCCACAGGGAAGCCCCGGAGUUCACAUUCGAAGAUCUUGCAAAGGAAGCAUUCCUAUGGAAGUUGCAAAACUGUUCUGGUUCCAAUGUGGAAAAUGUGUGACUUCACUGCACCUGGCUUCUCAAAUUUGAAAGUUAAUCCUCUUCCCAGGGAGGUUGCUUUAAAAUGUGCUUGCUUGGGGACUUUGGUAGGCUCUGAUGGUGCAACGGCCUCUGAUUGGAUUCCUCUUGUUGAUCAACUACUCCUGACGGCCAGUGUGUUUCUCACAUAUAUGGCUGGAGUAAUUCCUGGUUACAACUCUAUUCCACCUUCUCAGAAUGACAACGCGGUUCCUAAGACCUCAAACGCUUCUGGUAGUGCUACAAAGAACAAUGAUCCAGAUUCAGGUUAUGCCGUGGAUGCAGUGAAAAAGAAACUUCUAGAUUCUCUUGAAGCUCUUGAACUAGGAGGCAAUCUGGGAAAUAGGGUCCUUGAACCUGAAGGGUAUUAUGCAAAGAGACCCUUAAGUUUGAAUGCUAUUGCUAAUGGUCCGCGACUACGAUUGCUAUGGGCAUCAUUGCAGCGAAUUGAGGAAGAGGUCAAAACUAUCUCCAAUUCUAAAACUUUUAACUCGGAUUAUUGCUUGAAGAAUUUUUCCGGUAUUAUACAAAAAUCCUGUCUCCCUGUAUGCACGAGCUGGCUAGAAACAGAACUUGGACUUUUAAACAGCAGACCUAACAAGGCACUUGUUUUGCUGAUGGAUGCAAAGUUAAAUGGAGACAACGCUAUUUUACAGAACAUCAGGAAUUCUGGCAAGGAAGAUCUUUAUGCAGAAUUGCUGUGUUUUCUUAGUUUUGGUUCUCUCAGGGAGGGUUGCUCUUAUGACAGUGGCCUGUUUAUGAUGCAUGCAGUUUCCAUACUGGAAGAUUUGGUGAUAACUUUGUCAGAUGGGAUAGUAAGCAUAUAUUUGGAGCUUAUUUCUGUUGACAGCAAUUUCUCAGAUGAAAUGGAUGGCUUGUCUUUGGCAUUGUGUACUUUGUCAACACGAGCACUACAAAGAUUACGUAAUGAGGUGGCUUUGUACCAAUGGUUGUAUCAAAAUUUGGAAGCAGUUGCAUCAAUGUAUGAGGAUCGAUUUGACUUAUGGACAUUUGAGAGUCAACUCAUAGAGAAAGUAGACAAUAGCUGGAAUCAAAAGUACAGUUGGUGGAAGAGACUUAUCCAUAAAAAAUCUGACACUGCAUCAUCAACAUUAGACCAUGUUUUGAUAAGUAACUUUUCUAUGCCUGUAAAGCGAACGAAGGAAUUGAGAGCCCUUACAGGCUGGAGGUACUACUUCAGUCUAUUCCUCGAGUUAUCUGACAUUAGCAUGCCAUUGGUCAGAGCAGUCAUUGAUAAAGUCAGCAAGGCUAUGUCAUUUUUUCUAGUCUGCUUGAUUGGGAGGUCAUUAGGACUCAUUUAUACUGGAAUUAGGCAGUCUCUGCGAUGGAAGUGAUUGACGGCUUUGUUCCCAAGUGCAAAUUAUAUGGUGGGAUAUUUAAGAGUAUGAUAUCAUGUAUUGAAAAUGGUGGGAAGAAGAACAUGAGAAAAUGACGGGCACACAAGGAUAUUACUUUUCAGAAGAUCACAAAAGCAAAAGUUCCUUUCAGAAGAUAAUCUCUGUGCCCUACCGUCUUUACACCUUCCUGAUGUACAAAAUCCCGCAAUGGGUACCCAAGUCGACAAGGCAGGCAGAGAAGUUGAAGAAACAAGAGGAGGAAAGAGAGGCAUGAUUAAAGGGUUGAGGAAGCAUGACUAACCAAAACAGUUUAGAGAUUGGAGAGCCAUUAUUUAUCUUGGAAUUUGAUAGGGCAAUACCUUUUAUUAGCUAUGAUUAGACAAUGAUAAAGGAAUUUGAUAUCAUUAUGUGUCUGUGGACCACACUGGCUUUUGCUUCUUUGCAACCUUUAAUGUGUGGUUGCCUGGUGAAAAGAACCUUACAUGAGACUCUAGUCAGGCAAAUGGAACUGCAAUGAUUUGAUGUAUAUUACGAAUCUUGAUAUGCAAGUGAUCUGAUUGAAAUUGUGGAGAGAUGUUCAAAAACUAGGCUAAA